rnacentral:lncRNA from 1 species
UAUAGUUGUCCAUUUGCUGAUUUAUAUUAUGCAUUGAUAGAGCGCGACUCUGAAACCUUUUUUUAUUUGUAGCACUGUUAAAUUUUCAAAAAAUAUAUAUAUUUCCUUCAUUAAAAGGGUUCUAAAUUGUGCAACAUCUUCUUUUCUUAUCAAUGCUUGAAUUGAAGUACCAUGUCUGUAGGUGGAACAUAUGAUUAAUAUAUGGAUAUGAUAUCUAUGA